AUGGUGCACCCCGGCUGGGUCUGCCUGCUGCAGAGCCUCCUCCUGCUAGCCAGAGCGCGGCAGAGUCGCGGCCCCGCCGGCGCCUGCCCGCUGCGCGGAAAGACUGAACUGAACUCCUUUCUGUGGACCAUCAAGAGAGAUCCCCCAUCUUACUUCUUUGGCACCAUCCAUGUCCCAUACACCCGUGUCUGGGAUUUCAUCCCAGAGAACUCCAAGAAGGCCUUUCAGCAGAGUCACAUAGUGUACUUUGAGCUGGACCUCACCGACCCCUACACCAUCUCUGCUCUCACCAGCUGCCAGCUGCUGCCACAGGGGGAGAACCUUCAGGACUUGCUGCCCCGUGACAUCUACCGCCGGCUCAAGCGGCACCUGGAAUAUGUCAAACUCAUGAUGCCAUCUUGGAUGACACCAGACCAGCGGGGCAAGGGGCUGUAUGCAGACUACCUCUUCAAUGCCAUUGCUGGCAACUGGGAGCGGAAGAGGCCAGUGUGGGUGAUGCUGAUGGUGAAUUCUCUGACGGAGGUAGACAUCAAGUCUCGAGGAGUGCCCGUCCUGGAUCUGUAUCUGGCCCAGGAAGCAGAACGGCUUAGGAAGCAAACAGGCGCUGUGGAGAAGGUGGAGGAGCAGUGCCACCCACUGAACGGGCUUAACUUCUCCCAGGUGAUCUUUGCUUUGAAUCAGACUCUCUUGCAGCAGGAGAGCCUCCGAGCAGGCAGUUUCCAGAUCCCCUAUACGACAGAAGAUCUUAUCAAGCAUUACAACUGUGGAGACCUCAACUCUAUCAUCUUCAACCAUGACACUUCUCAAGUCCCAAAUUUCAUUAAUGCUACACUGCCAGCCCACGAGCGUAUUACUGCCCAAGAGAUAGACAGCUACUUCCGUCAGGAGCUCAUCUACAAGAGAAAUGAGCGAAUGGGAAGGAGGGUGAAGGAGCUGCUGGAAGAAUACCCUGACAAGAGCUUCUUUUUUGCAUUUGGAGCUGGUCACUUCAUGGGCAACAACACAGUGAUCGAUGUUUUGAGGAGAGAAGGGUAUGAUGUAGAGCACACCCCAGCUGGACAAGCCAUCAACAACGGAAAACUCCCCAAAACUUUGUUAGCCUUCUCAUCGUCCUCACCAGCACAUCACCCUUAUGUAGUGUCCCAGGAGCUCCCACUGCCGUUGCAUACCCUGAAAGAGGAGGAGGAAGAACUCUUGCCUCACCUGCUGCUUCCUGAUGGCAUCGAUGUGCUGGAGAAGGUAGAGAGGAAGUACAAAAAGAAGAAGCAGCAGCAGAAGAAGCAAAGACUGCGGCAGUUUAAUGACCUAUGGGUUCGCUUUGAAGAAAGUGCCACCGACCCUCCUCCCGGUAUCCGUAUCAUCAAUGGCUACAUCACAGUGGAACCCCAGCCCCGGGGCCAUGGACGGUUCAGUCCCGCUCACACAGACACCAGCUCGCACAGACACAGUGGCUCUCGCCAGCUCUCCCACUCCCUUCUGCUCUCACUACUGACUUUGGCUAUGCAUAUGAUUAGGCUGCACUGAGAUGUAAGGGGAGCCGAGCGGCAGGACUCUCCCCUUAAAAAGCAAACAAGAGACUUAAGUUAAAAAUAACAAUAAAAACGGAAGACUUUGUGAGUGGGACACGUAUUCUGUGGGAUGUUCUCAAACUGCUUCCUUUUCCUGAACCUAGAUCAUUAACACUAUUAACUGGUUUGACCUGCCCAAUACAGGAGAAGAUAUUUUAAUGGAAGUGUUAUUUAAUCCUUCUCUUGCAGAAGAGUGACUUCAUGUUAUCCCAUAAUGCUUUGGGGAAAUGUAUAAUGUUGCUAUAACAUAGCUGUUGUUUAGCUGUAUGAGCCCAACUGAGUUGUACUUUUUGCACCUUCAGUGCCUUGUGUGGGGAUUUACACAUCACUAGCUUAUUUUUUAGAACAGAGUAUUUUGGUCAUAUGAACACAGCUGGGAGGAAGAGGACCUCCUCUUGUGACCAUUCUGACUCAUGAGAAACAUGUUCUCCCUCAUCUUAGAAGGUCUUCAUAGCACGGGAGGGUCUCAUGAGAUUUUUUGUCUCACUCGUGAGAGGACUUUCAGAAAAUUCAGGCCUUGGCAAUUUGCAUGCACAGCAGAUCCCUGCCCCUACGAGACAUCAAAGGAUAUGAUUUCUUCAGAUUUCUCUUCCUAUGAAAAUGCUUCGCUACUUUUCGUUGCUUGUAAAAAGCACAUUUUUCCUCCUCCUUCUGCUGCACAGUUCUGCUUUCCUGCAGGAGGAAAAAUGUUUCUAGAUGUGUUAACAGAAUUUUCAUCUAAAGAUCUCAAAUCCUGGUCCACUUCCAGGAGGACUGUACGUAAACAAAGCCUUAGAAUGGUGAGGAAAACAAAGAAAGCAGAGUCUGAAUAUUGCUGUUUGCAACAGGAGAGAAGUUUUUACGCCCUGGGGUACAAGACAGAAUCAAUUCAUUGCAUAUUCUUUAUCAAAAGACAUCAACAUCUCAGAGACAUUCUGUUUUCCACGGGAUGACAUAGCAGACAGGUUGGUGAUGUGCUCCUCUCUGUCUCCCUCUCUGACUGGUCAUCUGCUGGCGUAAACUCUCAUAGAGUUGGUGUGUCUGGCCUUAUUUUCCUUGGGCUCAAUGUGAUCUGAACAGAUCUGCUCAAAUGGGGCAUAGCUUAGUUAGAGCCAUGCAUUGCAAGCCUGACAAACUGAGCAAAUGCUUGUGUAUUUGUGAGUGCAUCUGAGGCAGGCAUGAAAGGCAUUACACCAGAAUGUUCUGCUAUCUGCUAGCCCAUGCUUUGGCACUGUGGAAUUGCUGUCCCCUCUCAGAUGUGGCACAGACUCAGUGGGGUCUGCAAACAUUGGAAGAAGGGGUUGGAGAGCUCUCAUGCCCUUUUUCCAUUACCAGAUAAAGGCUGCCCUUCACGAAAUAGUCGCAGACUGGCAGUUCUCUUUAUUCACUCCUGCAUAGUUACACUCCUUCAAACUGGCAAGUGAGGAAAUGAGUUAGAGGUAAGGCUUAAAAUCCACUGACACAUACUAAGGGGUAUCAGAAAGGCCCACCACACCUGGAAGAUCAAGAACCUGGGGAUUCCUCCUCCCUAGCUGCUUGAGCUUUGCUCAAGAUCUCUGACCUAGUAUGAAAAUAGGAAAUGGAAUGUUUUUGGUGUUUUGUGGCACUAUUAUGUAAUUCUGUGGUGGGUGGUGAGCCUUUGUUGGAAGGGGGUAUUUUUGGAGAGAUCUCCUUUCAGAUGUAUGUUUAAACACCGGAAGAAGGGGCAAUGGGAGAGGGAGUUGGAGCCUCUUCCUGAGGGGUCCACAUGUUCAUACAACACCUGCUGCACAGGACAGAUGUUUGUGCUGGAGCUUUUUAUUUCAUGUAAAGGCAAGAGCAAAGUCAAGGGCACAAGACAGACGAUACUCAGACUUUAAAGCUUCCAUUGCUGAAACAAAUUCCAUGAUGCUAAAAGCAAGAAACAUAAUCGUGUCUCUGCCUUUGGAAAUGCAGUAUGGAAGAACAAAUCACAGAAGGCUGAUGACAAGAUCUCGAGAACUCCAGUGUAGUCUCAGCUUCCACAAUAUCUUUAGAUGGCAGGGAGUGUGGCUGGUGGAUCUCAUCCUCUGUUUGCAGAGGGGGCACAUGGGUGUGCUCUCAGCCCACCGCAGGAUGCAGCCAAAGCAGAACUGGUGCAGAAGACUCAGUUAUGCUUGUGUAACCUUGUAAGCCUGUCAUCUAUCAAUGGGAUCAGUAUGUGAUGGGUGUGGAGUGAGACCUUUGGGAUUGUAAGUAGAAGACACGGGAGUGUUUAUUGGUGGAGAUGACCCACCUUGUGCCCUGCAUAGAAAUGAAGCAGUGCCUCCUCUGUCGAUGUUUGCCUUUGCAACGUGUUGAGGGAGGUUCUAAAGAAACAGUAAUAGCAGCACAGCAGGCCUCCAGGCCCAGCAGAGGUCAGGUCUCCCCCCUGCACAGCGCUGACAAAGGCACUGGUAGCAACACGGAGACUUUUCUGUGAUUUUAUUGCAGUCAACUCUCGGAAAGGG